AGAGCCCAGCUCUGGGCUGGAUCCUGCUGCAGAACCACCCAGGAGAUGGUGCUCUUGAACCAGAGAUAGAUGCAGCGCUGACCCAGAGGCAUCCUCGAACGCAGCCCUCCCUGUUUUCCCUUUGUGUUGCAUGCUCUUCUUUGGGGUUCCCAUUUCCUAUGGGGAGAAGAAUGUGAUGAUGUUGAGCCCGGAGCGUAUUUCCAUCUGAUCCGUAAUGCGAUUUCCAGCCUGGUGAUCCUAGGCUCCUGCCUGAAAUGACGCUGGUGCUUGUAGGAGGUGUUUUUCCCUGGACUGUGAGACUAGUGAGAUGCUGAAGCUGAACACGGAGCAGAUUUGCAGCUGAUUGCCCUGAUUGGAGCCUGGGAUGCGCUGUGCCCAAGCCAAGCAUCUGAGGGGUGCCAGCUCCAUUGCUGCCAGGGCUGGGAAAAGCACGGCCGUGCGUGGGGCUCCCUGUGGCCUCCUCAGUGGGACAGCCUUUCACUGCUGACACGUGUCUCAGAGGUGCUGUCACAGCAUUCAGACAUCAGCAUGAAGCUUGGGCAGCCUCAUCCAUAAGCUGUGGGCUCCUCAUGGGUGCUGCUGGCUAGGGGGGAGGUUUCCCUCUUUUGGGGCUGAUGGGAAGCGCAGCUGAUGCUUGCAGUGGAACUGGAAGAAAAUCAUGGUCCUGUGCACACAGGGGAUGGCCAGCUCUGUCACUAGAAACAUAAUCCCUCUUUUGGAACAAUGCUUCUGACAAGUGAAGUCAUCUUCAUCAUUAGUUUGGAUCAUGACAGAAGAAUAAACUUUCCAGAAGAUACUGCUUGUCCUUCACUUAUAAUCUGAAUCACAGUCAUCAGUGCAGUAAGACCAUUGUCACUGCAUUCGGUACUUGGAAAGAAAUGGGUUAAGAGAUAAAACCUGCAAUUAUGGAAUCACAAAACAGCCCGAGUUAGAUGGGAUCUUGAAAGAUCAUCAGCUCCAUGCUUUCACAGGAAAUGGGAGCAUCACUAAGAUUACCUAGCACCCUCUUCUAUUGCACCUUGAUACCACAUGCUUCCCUCUCUCAUCUCAUGGCUUUUAUUUAGUAAAAACCUCUGUUUGGUAUUAUGUUAACUAUUAUAUGCCUCUUUCCUUGCAAGGGUUGUUUAGUGGGGUUGUGCAUGGAACUUCUCUCUUAGGAGAGAUCCAUACCCACGCUUGAGAGGUGGGGGGACCCAAAAGUCACCAUCAUAGAGUUAAAAUGGGCCAGAACCAUCUUGCUCAAGUGUGACGUUACUCUUCCUUUUAAACUGGGACUUAUUGUCUUCAUUUAAUUAAAUUUUUACCCAAGUCACCUUAAUCUUUUCAAAAACCUUUGAUAGGAUACCAAAUAGACAGAUGAUUGGAACAAUUACCUUCUCAUCUAGGGGGACUGUUGUGGCCUUCUUGCUGUAGGUAUUCUAGACAGUACUGUCCUUGAACAAAUGAAAUAAUUUAGAUCUUGUUACCUUUUAUUUGUUGUCUGCCCUGUUUACCUAAUCCUCAUCUUGUUAGUGUUGUCUUUAUAAUGAAUAAACAGCGAUGUUCUUGUUUUGUAUUACAUUUUUCUCUUAAAAUUCUGUGGCACUAUGUACCUGUAUGCUCAUGUGCAAUCUUCUACACUGAAGUUAUCUGUUGAUAUCCCUGCCAGAAUAAUCACGAUGACUGCAGAGGUGGGAAACACAUUAUUUGCUGAAUUCUUUCCUGUCACAAUCUCUGAAACGGUCUCCUGCAGCAGAGAAUGAAAAUAAAUCUGAAAUGUCUUGGAGUGGCACUGCCAGCCUAGUGAGUAGCAUCACUAGAAAAAGCUUUGCAGAGCUGUAUUACCCAACAGACAAAGAGUGAGGGAGUUUUGGGGAAGAAAUACCACUUCUGUUUUCUUACAUCAGCAUUGAAGUCCACUGGCGGAGCAGUAUGUGGGGGGAAAAACAUGCUGAUAAUGUCACUGCUACAUACAGGAAAUGGGGCAUGCUGUCAUGUGAUGGCAACCACCAGCAGUGCUCUCUAGCACUGACUUGAUGCCCCAUAGAUGCUUGUAUCCAGCCCUCUCCUCUUGGACAACUGGCAUCAUCUUAAGACUUCUUAUCUUUGUUAAAAAAAAAAAAAAAAAGUAGCUUGACAAACCAUUCAAACACUGCCUCUUCCCUGCCUUUGUACUUGUUUAUUCCCUCCUCAUUGUGUUUUUAGCUAAAGCAGAUUAUUGCAAAAUCCAUUUAAAAAACAGGGUAGUUUUAUACUGAAAGAUAUCUAGAGGGCAGCAAAUCCAGAGGGAAAUCUCAUCCUUCAGUGCAAACAAAACCUCCUCUUCUAUUUUAUUUCUGAAAAAAUCAAGCACAGUUAUGUAAAACCUUGUAUUUCUCUAUACGAAACAGCAAUCGUAAGAUAUCUCUAUAUGGCUGAGCUAUGAACAUACCUAGGAGCAAACUUGUAAUUUGAUUAAUGAUUACUGUGGUGGGCAAGGACUCUGAAGUUCAGGUGUGAGUUACAAAGAAACUGCUCUGCCGUCUAAAAUCGCAUCUGAAAGCAAAUGUAUUUUUAGCGUACUGCUGUGUGGUGUGGAAUGUUCCUGAGUUAUUGGUUCAUAAUUGUAGUGAUUGUGGAGAAUGUAUUUAAUAAUAAUUUGACAUUUAAUUCAAUAUUAUGUAGUGCUUCUGAUUGCAGUUCUGUCAUUCUUUGUGCUUUGUUCAAGUUGUAUCUGGCUAAACAGUAGGUGGG
rnacentral:lncRNA from 1 species